GCAUAAUCACUUGCCUUCUAAUUAAAGGCUAGAAUGAAAGGAAUAACGUAAAUCUAACUAUAUCAAAAACACAACUAAAAUUUAAUCUUCAGGUGAAGAAGCCUGAAUAAAUUUGAAAGACAAGAAGACCCUAUAGAGUUUAAGUAAUAACCGCCAACCUUCUAUUUACUUUGAUUGGGGUGAUCAAGGAAACAAAAAACCUUCCUAACAACAAAAGAAAAUAAUUCAACAUAAAAAUCCUUAAUAAAGAAUUUAAACAAAACUACCUUAGGGAUAACAGGCUUAUCUUCCUCAAAAGUCCACAUAGACAGGAAGGUUUGGCACCUCGAUGUUGGCUUAGAGAAACAAAAUAAAGCAAAAAUUAUUAUAUGUUAGUUUGUUCAACUAUUAAAUCUC
rnacentral:rRNA from 1 species